CAUCCUACGGGACGCAGCAGUGGGGGAUAUUGCACAAUGGGGGGAACCCUGAUGCAGCGACGCCGCGUGAACGAAGAAAUAUUUCGGUAUGUAAAGUUCUAUCAGCAGGGAAGAAAAUGACAGUACCUGACCAAGAAGCCCCGGCUAACUACGUGCCAGCAGCCGCGGUAAUACGUAGGUGGCAAGCGUUGUCCGGAUUUACUGGGUGUAAAGGGCGUGCAGCCGGGAAGACAAGUCAGAUGUGAAAUCCCGCGGCUCAACCGCGGAACUGCAUUUGAAACUGUUUUUCUUGAGUACCGGAGAGG
rnacentral:rRNA from 1 species